GCUGGGCGUGAUGACACACGCCUGUAGUCCCAGCUAUUCGGGAGCUGAGGUGGGAGGAUCACUUGAAGCCAGGAGUUCAAGGCUGCAGUGAGCUAUGAUCAUGCCACUGCACUUUAGCCUGGGUGACACAGUGAGACUCUGUCUCAA
rnacentral:SRP_RNA from 1 species